GGGGGCGAAAAGGGUUCGACGGAGGUAGUGAAGCUUAAGGAGCAUGCCGGGGGUCCUGACCGCCCGUUAUCCGGUUGGGGUUAAAGACAAACGCAGACGACUAUGCGUAUGCCGCAGCCGCUUAGCGCGGCUGCCGUUCCUUCGGCCUGAGCCCGUAGGGCCGUAAGGAGCGUCGACUCCACGGGAUAGCUUCCGCGGCCUUGCCCACAGCCAAGGAAGCGAACAUUGAGUGGGCUAGCCACCGAGGGAUCCGGUCACGGGGAGCCCGAGGGAGCGAAAGCCAGAUCCGUGACUAAGCAUGUAGAGCCUUAAGUGGAAUGCCUUCGGACGCGGGUUCGAUUCCCGCCGCCUCCACCA
rfam:Desulfacinum hydrothermale DSM 13146 genome assembly, contig: EJ40DRAFT_scaffold00024.24